GGAGAAGGAGGAUUCGACUGGUCAAAUCGUUUUGAAAGUUUCAUGGGGCGUUUUUUCGCAUUCACGGAUUGAGACCAGCGGGUGUUUCGGGAUCAAUUGCGGUUUCAUCUGAGAUCUGAUCGUGCUGAAAUUUUGUGGGAAAUUUCUGGACCUAUAGACCUUGCGUUUCACCGGAGGGAUUAGAAAGUUAACGGAGCGAGUUUGGUUGUUCUUGGAUAUUGGAGA